rnacentral:rRNA from 1 species
UACGAAGGGGGCUAGCGUUGUUCGGAAUUACUGGGCGUAAAGCGCGCGCAGGCGGUCUUCCAAGUCAGUGGUGAAAGCCCGGAGCUCAACUCCGGAACUGCCAUUGAAACUGUGAGACUUGAGGAUGAGAGAGGUGAGUGGAAUUCCCAGUGUAGAGGUGAAAUUCGUAGAUAUUGGGAAGAACACCGGUGGCGAAGGCGGCGACCUGGUCCUUUACUGACGCUGAGGCGCGAAGCGUGGGGAGCAAACAGG